GAUGAACGCUGGCGGCGUGCCUGAAACAUGCAAGUCGAGCGGUAAGGCCCCUCCGGGGGUACACGAGCGGCGGACGGGUGAGUAACACGUGGGAAUCUACCCCAAACUGAGGGAUAAGCACCGGAAACGGUGUCUAAUACCGCAUAUGGUCUUCGGAUUAAAGCUUCGGCGGUUUGGGAAGAGCCCGCGCAAGAUUAGCUAGUUGGUAAGGUAAUGGCUUACCAAGGCGACGAUCUUUAGCUGGUUUGAGAGGAUGAUCAGCCACACUGGAACUGAGACACGGUCCAGACUCCUACGGGAGGCAGCAGUUAGGAAUCUUCCACAAUGGGCGAAAGCCUGAUGGAGCAACGCCGCGUGCAGGAUGAAUGCCUUCGGGUUGUAAACUGCUUUUAUGUGCGAAGAAUAUGACGGUAACACAUGAAUAAGGAUCGGCUAACUCCGUGCCAGCAGCCGCGGUAA
rnacentral:rRNA from 1 species